UCAAAAGUAUAUUCCUUUGUAAUUUCUUCGUUGUGUGCUGGAGCAUCAUUUUUUAUAUCCCUCUCUAUAGUCUAUAGCUUUCCCCCCCUUCGUCUCUCCGAAUUCUUGUUUGCAUUUGAAGCCGGAGCUCAUUUUCUUGGUCUCGUUUUUGAGAAAUGGUUCAAAUCAAGGAGUUUCGGAUCGUUAUGCCCAUGUCAUUGGAAGAGUUUCAUGUGGCACAUAUGUACAUUGUCAUGAAGAUGUCACAACAGCACACAACUGGCGAUGAAGGGAUAGAAGUUGUAGAGAGCAGAUCCUUUGAAGAUAAUGUGCUUGGGAAGGGUCGAUACACUAACAAAAUUUAUCGCCUUCAAAGCAAAGUUCCUUCAUGGCUUACUGCUUUUGCACCAGCAGAUGCUCUCAUCAUAAAAGAGGAAGCCUGGAAUGCAUUCCCAAAAUGCAAAUCAGUGAUGAAGUGCCCAUAUUUUACCAGGUUUCAGUUAACCCUUGAAACUGUUCAUAGGCCUGACAGAGGGCAGUCAGAAAAUGUUCAUGGUCUAAGUGAAGAACAACUGGCAGUCAGGGAAGUGGAAUACAUUGAUAUAGCUUCUUCUGAAGGCAAUUAUUGGAGUUAUCUAGUCGGAAAUAAUGAUGUGGACUUCUCUGAAUUCAAAUCAGAAAGAACCAGCCGUGGUCCACUUUUGGAGGGGUGGCAGGAUAGGUGUAAUCCUGUUAUGACGGCAUACAAAUUGGUAACAAUUGAUGCACCAUACUGGGGUUUUGGAUCCCGACUUGAACAAGCUCUAAUAGCGGGUGAAAAGGCACUAUUUUUGGCAAGUCACCGUAAUUGCUUUAGUUGGAUUGAUGAGUGGUAUGGGAUGACAGUGCAACAAAUAUGUGAACUCGAACAACGAACCCAUUAUGCGUUAAAUGAGGGGUAAUUUGAAAAAUGCACAUGUACCGAGUUACAAUUGGUGUCUUCUUGAAUUGGUUUAUUGGCGUCAAUAACUAGUUGGGAAUCAUGUUCCUCUGAAUUGCAGCUUUGCAGGAAACUUGGCAAGCCGGCAUUGAUUACAAGUAUAGAAGAUUAAACCUUCAUUUGAUUCUGAAGACAUUUAUAGCAGGAGCUCACAUAGACGUUUGUUUGCAGUGUAACUCCUACAACACUCAUUUCCAAGAUUAUAUAGCAGCUAACAUAUUCAAUUCCCCAUAUAUUACCUUAUUGAUUAUUUCAGUUAGACUACACAGUUGGUAUUGUAAAGUAUCCUAAAUUAGACUUUGGCGUCAAGUAAAGAUUACCUAAAGCUUUUGUCUGAAUUCUAAAACCUAUGUCAAUAUUUAUUAAGCAUUUUAUUUAUAUUGUUUAUAGGAUCUACA